GAUGAACGCUAGCGGCAGGCUUAACACAUGCAAGUCGAGGGGUAUAGUUCUUCGGAACUAGAGACCGGCGCACGGGUGCGUAACGCGUAUGCAAUCUACCUUUUGCAGAGGGAUAGCCCCAGAGAAAUUUGGAUUAAUACCUCAUAGUAUAGCAGUUUCGCAUGAAACCACUAUUAAAGUCACAACGGCAAAAGAUGAGCAUGCGUCCCAUUAGCUAGUUGGUAAGGUAACGGCUUACCAAGGCUACGAUGGGUAGGGGUCCUGAGAGGGAGAUCCCCCACACUGGUACUGAGACACGGACCAGACUCCUACGGGAGGCAGCAGUGAGGAAUAUUGGACAAUGGGCGCAAGCCUGAUCCAGCCAUGCCGCGUGCAGGAUGACGGUCCUAUGGAUUGUAAACUGCUUUUGUACAGGAAGAAACCCUUUCACGUGUGGAAGAUUGACGGUACUGUAAGAAUAAGGAUCGGCUAACUCCGUGCCAGCAG
rnacentral:rRNA from 1 species